rnacentral:rRNA from 1 species
GCCUCAGUAACGGCGAGUGAAGCGGCAACAGCUCAAAUUUGAAAUCUGGUCCUUGCGGCCCGAGUUGUAAUUUGCAGAGGAUGCUUUUGGCGCGGUGCCUUCCAAGUUCCCUGGAACGGGACGCCUUAGAGGGUGAGAGCCCCGUACGGUUGGACACCAAGCCUUUGUAAAGCUCCUUCGACGAGUCGAGUAGUUUGGGAAUGCUGCUCUAAAUGGGAGGUAUAUUUCUUCUAAAGCUAAAUACCGGCCAGAGACCGAUAGCGCACAAGUAGAGUGAUCGAAAGAUGAAAAGCACUUUGAAAAGAGGGUUAAACAGCACGUGAAAUUGUUAAAAGGGAAGCGCUUGUGACCAGACUUGCGCCCGGUGAAUCACCCAGCUCUCGCGGCUGGGGCACUUUGCCGGCUCAGGCCAGCAUCAGCUUGCCGUCGGGGACAAAAGCUUCGGGAACGUAGCUCUCUUCGGGGAGUGUUAUAGCCCGUUGCACAAUACCCUUCGGCGGGCUGAGGUACGCGCUCCGCAAGGAUGCUGGCAUAAUGGUCAUCAGCGACCCGUCUUGAAACACGGACCAAGGAGUCAACCUUAUGUGCGAGUGUUCGGGUGUCAAACCCCUACGCGUAAUGAAAGUGAACGCAGGUGAGAGCUUCGGCGCAUCAUCGACCGAUCCUGAUGUUCUCGGAUGGAUUUGAGUAAGAGCAUAUAGGGUUGGACCCGAAAGAAGGUGAACUAUGCGUGUAUAGGGUGAAGCCAGAGGAAACUCUGGUGGAGGCUCGCAGCGGUUCUGACGUGCAAAUCGAUCGUC